UGAGCAACCUGCCUUUCANAGGGGGAUAACAGUUGGAAACGACUGCUAAUACCGCAUAACGCUGCGAUGGGGCAUCCCGAUGCAGCCAAAGGAGCAAUCCGCUGGAAGAUGGGCUCGCGGCCGAUUAGCUAGUUGGUGGGGUAACGGCCCACCAAGGCGACGAUCGGUAGCCGGACUGAGAGGUUGAUCGGCCACAUUGGGACUGAGACACGGCCCAGACUCCUACGGAAGGCAGCAG
rnacentral:rRNA from 1 species